AUUGAACGCUGGCGGCAUGCCUUACACAUGCAAGUCGAACGGUAACAGGUCUUCGGAUGCUGACGAGUGGCGAACGGGUGAGUAAUACAUCGGAACGUGCCUAGUAGUGGGGGAUAACUACUCGAAAGAGUGGCUAAUACCGCAUGAGAUCUACGGAUGAAAGCAGGGGAUCGCAAGACCUUGUGCUACUAGAGCGGCCGAUGGCAGAUUAGGUAGUUGGUGGGAUAAAGGCUUACCAAGUCGACGAUCUGUAGCUGGUCUGAGAGGACGAUCAGCCACACUGGGACGGAGACACGGCCCAGACUCCUACGGGAGGCAGCAGUGGGGAAAUUUGGACGAUGGGCGAAAGCCUGAUCCAGCAAUGCCGCGUGCAGGAUGAAGGCCUUCGGGUUGUAAACUGCAUUUGUACGGAACGAAAAGCCCCGGGUUAAUACCCUGGGGUCAUGACGGUACCGUAAGAAUAAGCACCGGCUAACUACGUGCCAGCCGCCGCGGUAA
rnacentral:rRNA from 1 species